CCUACGGGAGGCAGCAGUAGGGAAUUUUCCACAAUGGGCGAAAGCCUGAUGGAGCAACGCCGCGUGCAGGAUGAAGGCCUUCGGGUCGUAAACUGCUUUUAUGUGCGAAGAAUAUGACGGUAACACAUGAAUAAGGGUCGGCCAAAUACGUGCCAGCAGCCGCGGUAAU
rnacentral:rRNA from 1 species